rnacentral:misc_RNA from 1 species
GAAAUGCGAUACUUGGUGUGAAUUGCAGAAUUCAGUGAAUCAUCGAAUCUUUGAACGCACAUUGCGCCCCUUGGUAUUCCAUGGGGCAUGCCUGUUCGAGCGUCAUUUGUACCCUCAAGCUCUGCUUGGUGUUGGGUGUUUGUCCUCUCCCUAGUGUUUGGACUCGCCUUAAAAUAAUUGGCAGCCAGUGUUUUGGUAUAGAAGCGCAGCACAAGUCGCGAUUCUUAUUAAACACUUGCGUCCACAAGCCUUUUUAACUUUUGACCUCGGAUCAGGUAGGGAUACCCGCUGAACUUAA